UACGGAGGAUGCAAGCGUUACCCGGAAUGAUUGGGCGUAAAGCGUCCGCAGGUGGCUGUGUAAGUCUGCUGUCAAAGAGCAAAGCUCAACUUUGUAAAGGCAGUGGAAACUACACGGCUAGAGUGCGUUCGGGGCAGAGGGAAUUCCUGGUGUAGCGGUGAAAUGCGUAGAGAUUGGGAAGAACACCGGUGGCGAAAGCGCUCUACUGGACCGCAACUGACACUCAGGGACGAAAGCUAGGGGAGCGAAUGGG
rnacentral:rRNA from 1 species